UACGUAGGGUGCGAGCGUUGUCCGGAAUUAUUGGGCGUAAAGAGCUUGUAGGCGGUCUGUCGCGUCCGCUGUGAAAGUCGGGGGCUCAACCCUCGAAUGCCGGUGGAUACUGUCGGGCUAGAGUGCGGAAGAGGCGAGUGGAAUUCCUGGUGUAGCGGUGAAAUGCGCAGAUAUCAGGAGGAACACCGAUUGCGAAGGCAGCUCGCUGGGACGUAACUGACGCUGAGACGCGAAAGCGUGGGGAGCAAACAGG
rnacentral:rRNA from 1 species